rnacentral:piRNA from 1 species
UCUCACAUGGAUAUCCUACAAAAGCCAGU